rnacentral:rRNA from 1 species
CACGGAGUUAGCCGAUCCUUAUUCCUUCGGUACAUUCAGCUACUUACACGUAAGCAGGUUUAUUCCCGAAUAAAAGCAGUUUACAACCCAGAGGGCCGUCUUCCUGCACGCGGCAUGGCUGGUUCAGGGUUGCCCCCAUUGACCAAUAUUCCUUACUGCUGCCUCCCGUAGGAGUCUGGUCCGUGUCUCAGUACCAGUGUGGGGGGCCAUCCUCUCAGAUCCCCUAGCCAUCGUCGCCUUGGUAGGCCGUUACCCCGCCAACUAGCUAAUGGCACGCAUGCCCAUCCUUCUCCCAUAAAUGUUUGACCCCAUUACGAUGCCGUAUCGUGGUCUUAUGCGGUAUUAAUCCGAAUUUCUUCGGGCUAUCCCCCAGAAAGGGUAGGUUGCAUACGCGUUACGCACCCGUGCGCCGGUCUCUAGGAAGCAAGCCUCCUAUACCCCUCGACUUGCAUGUAUUAGGCCUGCCGCUAGCGUUCAUCCUGAGCCCAGGAUCAAACUCU